ACUCAAUAGAUACCCUGGUAGUCCCAGCAGUAAACGGUGCGCGUUUGGUGUGAGCAGGUUCGACCCUCGUUCGCGCCGGAGCUAAACGCGUUAAACGCGCCGCCUGGGAAGUACGAUCGCAAGAUUAAAACUCAAAGAAAUUGACGGGGGCCCGCACAAGCGGUGGAGUAUGUGGCUUAAUUCGAUGCAACGCGAAGAACCUUACCUGGGUUUGACAUGCAUCUCUAAGGCGGUGAAAGCUGCCGAGGGUAGCAAUACCCAAUUUGCACAGGUGCUGCAUGGCUGUCGUCAGCUCGUGUCGUGAGAUGUUGGGUUUAAGUCCCGCAACGAGCGCAACCCUUGUAUGCUGUUGCCAUGAUUACUCAUGGCUCUCUGCGUAGACUGCCCCGUGAAACGGGGAGGAAGGUGGGGAUGACGUCAAGUCAGCAUGGCCCUUACACCCAGGGCUGCACACGUACUACAAUGCCCAGUACAAUUCGAACCCGUCCCGCGAGGGCUGGGAAAU
rnacentral:rRNA from 1 species